CCUACGGGGUGCUGCAGUGAGGAAUAUUGGUCAAUGGACGAGAGUCUGAACCAGCCAAGUAGCGUGAAGGAUGACUGCCCUAUGGGUUGUAAACUUCUUUUAUAAAGGAAUAAAACGAGGCACGUGUGCCUUUUUGCAUGUACUUUAUGAAUAAGGAUCGGCUAACUCCGUGCCAGCAGCCGCGGUAAUACGGAGGAUCCGAGCGUUAUCCGGAUUUAUUGGGUUUAAAGGGAGCGUAGAUGGGUUGUUAAGUCAGUUGUGAAAGUUUGCGGCUCAACCGUAAAAUUGCAAUUGAUACUGGCAGUCGUGAGUACAGUUGAGGUAGGCGGAAUUCGUGGUGUAGCGGUGAAAUGCUUAGAUAUCACGAAGAACCCCGAUUGCGAAGGCAGCUUACUAAACUGUGACUGACAUUGAUGCUCGAAAGUGUGGGUAUCAAACAGGAUUAGAUACCCGAGUAGUC
rnacentral:rRNA from 1 species